GCGGUGGCAUGUGCUUGUAGUCCCAGUUUCGGGAGGCUGAGGCAGGAAGAUCACCAGAGCCUAGGAAGUUCUGGGCUGUAGUGUGUGAUGCUGAUUGGCUGUCCGCACUAAGUUUGGCAUCAACAUUGUGACCUCCUGGGAGCAGGGGAUUACCAAGUUGCCUAAGGAGGGGUGAACUGGCCCAGGUCAUAAAUGGAGCACGUCAAAACUCCCAUACUAGUCAGUAUAGACUUUGUUUUAAAAUCUAUUUUGUCUCAUAUAAAUAUUGGUACCCUGGUUAUUUUCUU
rnacentral:SRP_RNA from 1 species